rnacentral:snoRNA from 1 species
GUGAUGAGGCUAGACUAAGCCGAGAGAUGAUGUGGCGUGAAAGGGCUGA